UAACCUGCCCAAGAGAUCGGGAUAACACCUGGAAACAGAUGCUAAUACCGGAUAACAACAGAUGAUGCCUAUCAACUGUUUAAAAGAUGGUUCUGCUAUCACUCUUGGAUGGACCUGCGGUGCAUUAGCUAGUUGGUAGGGUAACGGCCUACCAAGGCGAUGAUGCAUAGCCGAGUUGAGAGACUGAUCGGCCACAUUGGGACUGAGACACGGCCCAAACUCCUAAGGGAGGCAGCAGAG
rnacentral:rRNA from 1 species